rnacentral:rRNA from 1 species
AUUGAACGCUGGCGGCAGGCCUAACACAUGCAAGUCGAACGAGCGGCGGACGGGUGAGUAAUGUCUGGGAAACUGCCUGAUGGAGGGGGAUAACUACUGGAAACGGUAGCUAAUACCGCAUACCAUCGGAUGUGCCCAGAUGGGAUUAGCUAGUAGGUGGGGUAAAGGCUCACCUGGGCGACGAUCCCUCGCUGGUCUGAGAGGAUGACCGGCCACAUGGGAACUGAGACACGGUCCAGACUCCUACGGGAGGCAGAAGGGGGGAUAAUGGCACAAUGGGGGAAAGCUUGAUGAAGCAAGGCCGCGGGUAGGAAGAAGGCCUUCGGUUGGUAAAGUACUUUCAGCGGGGAGGCGUUACCCGCAGAGGAAGCACCGGCUAACUCCGUGCCAGCAGCCGCGGUAAUAC